CAGUGCUGCCAGGUCCUGCAGACAACCGAAUUGCAGCUUCCACUGCACUGCCCAGCCAGGCGAAGCAUGGAAAUGGGAGGGACUCGCUGAAAGCUGGCCCCAGUCAAGGACAGACCCAGGGCGGGGAAGUCUGCUCGAGUUUGAGACUAUGUCCUCUGGGCAGCAGUCCCAACGCGAGGCUGCUGCAGCUCUGCAAGCUGUUCCCAAGCACUGGGCCCAGCAAACCACGCGCUGAUCUCCGGGCUCCGGGUCGCGCAAGUGCCACCCACCGUGUGACGGAAGCCCUGCGGCAAGGCACAAGUGGCCUUCUCCUGUGCCAGGGUGAAGGCCCCCUUCGCAUCAUGGCGCUGGUCAUCACUGUGGCUGUCACCUGAAUCGUAGUCAGCAUCCUCCUCGGUGGCCUUGGCUUUCCUCAAAUCCAGCAACUCUUCACCACCUACCAGGCUCCUCUGUCCAUGGGAUUUUCCAGGCAAGAAUAUUGGAGUGGUUUGCCAUUUCCUUCUCCAGGGGAUCUUCCUGACCCAGGGAUCGAACCUACAUCUCCUGCAUUGCAGGAACUGGUAUGUAAACUGAUGGGCCUGAUAAUCUAUGUGAGCCUACUUAUGCUGACUCCAAAAAUCCCGAGUCUGCCAUUUGAUCCUCAAGACAAUGUCUUCCUCUCCUGGGCUCACUCCUAUGCAGCAUUUCACAAUCAGUCUAACUGCUGGGUCUGUGGAACACUCACCUCUUCAGCAGUGGAAGGCUUCCUGUGAUGGACAUCUCCACUUCAAGGAAAAGACUUUCUCCAAGUCUGCAAAUACCUUCAAUAACAAACAUAUGUGAUGCCUCUUCUUCAUCUGAUGACAUCUAACAAACUUAAGAUGGACCGAUGUAACUAUGGACAUAAUGUGACUUUUCAUUUUGAUUUUAACUUGGUUUAAUGACUAUUUUGCCUUACGUCUGUAACUGUAUAAUGGGGUUUUCUGACAGUCUAAAAGCUUUUAAUUUACAAAUGGCUGCCCAAGCUCCUACGAGUGCCACAGCCUCCUCCAACUAUUACGUGGGGCCCCUGGAUCAGAGACCUUCAAUAUGAGGGUUAGGAGAAUAUGUUGUCUUACCAAUUUAGGGACCAUGCCCCUAAACAGCAGGAAGUAGUUAUGGAAUGAAAAUGAUGCCCUUUUCCUUUGACAACAUAAUUCUCCCAGAAGAAAAGGGGGGAAUGAGAGAGUCAGUUCCUAGGUAGGUUGAUAAGAAGUCUAGGGGUCCCCAAGGAGAGAGGGGUCUGGAAUUCUCAAGGAGGAAGAAAGGACAACCCCCCCCCCACAUUCCUUAGGAUUAUAUAACAAUAAUAUAUCCUGCUUGAGGACAGUCUCUGGGAAAAAAACCUUCUGGCUAAUCCUAUUAUCUUAAAACGUAAAUUAUGGGAGUAGGUCUAGUGACGUCUUUACAACCUCCAGACAUUCUUUUGAUUCACUGUAAUAACUAAUUGGAGAGUAUAUAACUCCAUUGCUAACACUAGCAAGGGGGUACUCUUUCUGUCCCCUUCUGAUGCUUAUGUCAGAAGCUUUCUCUGUCUCCUUUAUACUUUAAUAAAACUUUAUUACACAAAAACUCAGUG